CCUCCGCUGGUGCAGGACUCAGCAUCCCUGGGAGCUCAACUCCAUUCUGGGUGGCUUCAUUGCAUCGGGGCAGUAAGCCCUCUCUCCAGGGUCCUGGACCACUACUUCCAGGUUCU
rnacentral:lncRNA from 1 species